CGUAUGGUGAAGCGACACAGAAGCACAUAAAUGAUUACGCUGAUGCUGGCCUGAGGACACUAGUUCUUGCAUACCGUCAACUUGAGGAGAUCGAAUACACUAAAUUCGAAAGGAACUUCACAGCAGCUAAGAAUUCUGUCAGCGCUGAUCGGGAUGAGCUGAUUGACAAAGCGACAGAUUUGAUAGAGAUGGAUUUGAUUCUGUUUGGAGCCGCCGCCGUUGAGGACAAGCUGCAAAAGGGGGUACCUGACUCACUGACUGCAUCGACAAACUUGCUAAGGCCGGCAUCAAGAUAUGGGUGCUGACAGGCGACAAGACGGAGACCGCCCUCAACAUCGGAUAUGCCUGCAGUCUACUCAGACAAGGGAUGAAACAAAUAACCAUCACACUAGAUACACCAGAUAUCAUUGCCUUGGAGAAAGGUGGUGACAAAGGAGCCAUUAAUAAGGUAGGUAAAGUAUUGCAGAUUAUAGUUACCGAGUCCUCUGUCUAGUACACUGACCAAUUCUUAUGUAGUUUAUACUAUCUAUGUGUUCAUUUUCGGUUCUGUAGUGCAUUACGUUUGGUAACAAAUUAACUACAUAACUGCCUGCAUAUUGAUCAAACACUGGUUUGUUUCUCUUGUUUUUUGACAUGGAACACUCUUAUUCCAUUUAUGACACGGCUGAGAUACUGGUUACAUAACGGGUUACAUCAGCAGGAAAAUUGUCCAACCACAAACGCAUUUCAGCAUUAGCUAAUCCUGCGCCCCUUGCUGCCAGUACAUGUGAUGGCAUGUUACAGUCACGCGAGACAUGGACUACACUUGUGCUAAUGAAUUGUGAAUUGAGUUUGGCCUUGAUAUCUCGAAACAUUUGUCCCAGUGGAGCAAAGUCAUAAGAGUUGGAGGUCACUGCUUGCUGCAAGUUGAGACUGUCAGUCUCAAAAAUUACCCGCCCCACGCCCAGUUGGUCAACUAGCUGAACAACAUGUGAGAGGGAUAUGGUUUCAGCAUGUAGAGCAUCAGAAACGUCAUCAGCAGAUCCUGCUGCCAGGAACUUAAUGUCUGAUUCCGAAUCUAUGCAAAUCAUACCCCACCCUCGAUGGCCCAAACUUGCGUUAAAUGAGGCGUCUACAUUGAUCUUAACACAGUCUUGUGGAGGGGUCUCCCAUCUAGUUUGCGUUGAUGUGUGAGCUACUUUUUUCGACGCGAAGAAUUCCAUCCAAUCCCUGACAUGGCGUCUCACGGCAAACUGAAACGCAUCAACCUCCAUUCAUUUCCUUCCAUGAUUUCCCCCAUUCCGUUCAGACCACCACUGCCAGAGGCAAGCAAGUGUCAGUAAUUUCUUUUCUUCCGGCAGAUCAAAAAAUGUCUGGAGAACUUGUUUUGGAUUGGUGAAUUGGACUAGCUCGGAUCAGACAUCAUCAAGUAGCAGGGCUCUCCAGCGUUGUUUUGCUAGUUUGCAUUUGAAGAAUAAAUGGCCUCCAUCCUCAAAGUAUUUCCCGCAGACUGCGCAUCUAGUGUCCAGAUCAACACCACUCCUAUUUUAUAUUCAUAUAAGUUGGGUGGCUGUUGUGUGCAAACCUCCACAGAAAAUGGUGCACUUUUGGCGGGCAUCUAAUCUUCCAUAAAGAAGAGAACAACGAUGAAAACUAGUCCUCCUUAUCUGAACUUUGGCCAGCCUGCUUGCCCGCCUCCCUUUUAAACACUACAACGUGAAUCUUAUAUGCGGAUUUGACUGAAAACAGACCCUUAUUAUCGAAGUUAAUGCUAAUGCUAAUGCUAUCUGCAGUGCAGUUUCAGUUAAUUGAAUGGUCGUGCUAAUGUUAAUUGAAUGAACAACAACUAUAUCCUCGAAACGGGCGCGAAGUGGAUUUCAGGCAGAAUUAAUGCAGGUGCUCUCCUGUAGCGCGGGUUGAUUAUGAAAAACUGUAGGGUGUUUUUUGUAAAAGUGCAGGCGAUGACCGAACCAGCCACCUGGCUGCCACUUGUCACGCUAUGAUAGGUCGGGGACUAAAUCAUCACAUCGAGUGCAAGUUGGGGUAUGAUGAAGAUGCAUUUUGCAAGUUUGGGACUAAAACAUCACAUUCCAUGCAAGUUAGGGUACCUGGGUGCUUUUACCUCAAUCCGGAAGCACCCAUCCAUCAAUCAUUAUCUACCAUCGUGACAAGGUGAUCUCGCAGUAAGAUCUUGCACGAUGUGUCUGCCCCCCUUUGGAUCCGCAGAUCCACGGCAGCGUUGGCCUCUCUCUGUCUGUCUCUCUCAUUUACAGCUGCAUUUUCACCAGUGAUCCGCGGCGCUGUCACCGAAAACGCAUGAGGAGGUGCGCGCCGUGGCAGCGCCAUCCAGACACAGCACAUACUCCUAUCUAUCUACCCCAACCCCCCUGCCAAACCGAUGACCCGCACGUUCCAGC